rnacentral:rRNA from 1 species
GAUGAACGCUGGCGGCGUGCCUAAUACAUGCAAGUCGAGCGAACAGACGAGGAGCUUGCUCCUUUGACGUUAGCGGCGGACGGGUGAGUAACACGUAGGUAACCUACCUAUAAGACUGGGAUAACUUCGGGAAACCGGAGCUAAUGCCGGAUAAUAUUUCGAACCGCAUGGUUCGAUAGUGAAAGAUGGCUUUGCUAUCACUUAUAGAUGGACCUGCGCCGUAUUAGCUAGUUGGUAAGGUAACGGCUUACCAAGGCAACGAUACGUAGCCGACCUGAGAGGGUGAUCGGCCACACUGGAACUGAGACACGGUCCAGACUCCUACGGGAGGCAGCAGUAGGGAAUCUUCCGCAAUGGGCGAAAGCCUGACGGAGCAACGCCGCGUGAGUGAUGAAGGUCUUCGGAUCGUAAAACUCUGUUAUUAGGGAAGAACAAACGUGUAAGUAACUGUGCACGUCUUGACGGUACCUAAUCAGAAAGCCACGGCUAACUACGUG